rnacentral:rRNA from 1 species
GAUGAACGCUAGCUACAGGCUUAACACAUGCAAGUCGAGGGGCAGCGGGAUUGAAGCUUGCUUCAAUUGCCGGCGACCGGCGCACGGGUGAGUAACGCGUAUCCAACCUUCCGUACACUCAGGGAUAGCCUUUCGAAAGAAAGAUUAAUACCUGAUGGUAUGAUGAGAUUGCAUGAUAUCAUCAUUAAAGAUUUAUCGGUGUACGAUGGGGAUGCGUUCCAUUAGGUAGUAGGCGGGGUAACGGCCCACCUAGCCAACGAUGGAUAGGGGUUCUGAGAGGAAGGUCCCCCACAUUGGAACUGAGACACGGUCCAAACUCCUACGGGAGGCAGCAGUGAGGAAGAUUGGGCAAUGGACGAGAGUCUGAACCAGCCAAGUAGCGUGAAGGAUGAAGGUCCUACGGAUUGUAAACUUCUUUUAUAAGGGAAUAAACCCUCCCACGUGUGGGAGCUUGUAUGUACCUUAUGAAUAAGCAUCGGCUAACUCCGUG